rnacentral:rRNA from 1 species
GUACGGGAGGCAGCAGUGGGGAAUAUUGGGCAAUGGGCGCAAGCCUGACCCAGCAACGCCGCGUGAGGGAAGAAGGUUUUCGGAUUGUAAACCUCUGUCGCAGAUGACGAAGGAAGUGACGGUAAUCUGUGAGGAAGCCCCGGCUAACUACGUGCCAGCAGCCGCGGUAAUACGUAGGGGGCGAGCGUUGUCCGGAAUUACUGGGCGUAAAGGGAGCGUAGGCGGCCGAUUAAGUUGGAUGUGAAAUCCCCGGGCUUAACUUGGGUGGUGCAUCCAAUACUGGUUGGCUAGAGUACAGGAGAGGAAAGCGGAAUUCCUGGUGUAGCGGUGAAAUGCAUAGAUAUCAGGAGGAACAUCGGUGGCGAAGGCGGCUUUCUGGACUGACACUGACGCUGAGGCUCGAAAGCGUGGGGAGCAAACAGGAUUAGAUACCCUGGUAGG